GGGUUGUGAGGUUAAGCGACUAAGCGUACACGGUGGAUGCCCUGGCAGUCAGAGGCGAUGAAGGACGUGCUAAUCUGCGAUAAGCGCCGGUAAGGUGAUAUGAACCGUUAUAACCGGCGAUUUCCGAAUGGGGAAACCCAGUGUGACUCGUCACACUAUCAUUAACUGAAUCCAUAGGUUAAUGAGGCGAACCGGGGGAACUGAAACAUCUAAGUACCCCGAGGAAAAGAAAUCAACCGAGAUUCCCCCAGUAGCGGCGAGCGAACGGGGAGGAGCCCAGAGCCUGAAUCAGCAUGUGUGUUAGUGGAAGCGUCUGGAAAGGCGCGCGAUACAGGGUGACAGCCCCGUACACAAAAGCGCAUGUGCUGUGAGCUCGAUGAGUAGGGCGGGACACGUGGUAUCCUGUCUGAAUAUGGGGGGACCAUCCUCCAAGGCUAAAUACUCCUGACUGACCGAUAGUGAACCAGUACCGUGAGGGAAAGGCGAAAAGAACCCCGGCGAGGGGAGUGAAAAAGAACCUGAAACCGUGUACGUACAAGCAGUGGGAGCCCCACCACUAAGCCAGUGGUGAACUCCACAUACGCAUCCUUUGCUGAGGAUACGGUUAACGGAGCGAAAGCGACGUUCAACCGCAAAAGAAGCAGAGGGGGCUUAGUGGUGGGGUGACUGCGUACCUUUUGUAUAAUGGGUCAGCGACUUAUAUUCUGUAGCAAGGUUAACCGAAUAGGGGAGCCGGAGGGAAACCGAGUCUUAAUUGGGCGUUAAGUUGCAGGGUAUAGACCCGAAACCCGGUGAUCUAGCCAUGGGCAGGUUGAAGGUUGGGUAACACUAACUGGAGGACCGAACCGACUAAUGUUGAAAAAUUAGCGGAUGACCUGUGGCUGGGGGUGAAAGGCCAAUCAAACCGGGAGAUAGCUGGUUCUCCCCGAAAGCUAUUUAGGUAGCGCCUCGUGAAUUCAUCUCCGGGGGUAGAGCACUGUUUCGGCUAGGGGGCCAUCCCGGCUUACCAACCCGAUGCAAACUGCGAAUACCGGAGAAUGUUAUCACGGGAGACACACGGCGGGUGCUAACGUCCGUCGUGAAGAGGGAAACAACCCAGACCGCCAGCUAAGGUCCCAAAGUCAUGGUUAAGUGGGAAACGAUGUGGGAAGGCCCAGACAGCCAGGAUGUUGGCUUAGAAGCAGCCAUCAUUUAAAGAAAGCGUAAUAGCUCACUGGUCGAGUCGGCCUGCGCGGAAGAUGUAACGGGGCUAAACCAUGCACCGAAGCUGCGGCAGCGACGCUGAUGCGUUGUUGGGUAGGGGAGCGUUCUGUAAGCCUGUGAAGGUGGCCUGUGAGGGUUGCUGGAGGUAUCAGAAGUGCGAAUGCUGACAUAAGUAACGAUAAAGCGGGUGAAAAGCCCGCUCGCCGGAAGACCAAGGGUUCCUGUCCAACGUUAAUCGGGGCAGGGUGAGUCGACCCCUAAGGCGAGGCCGAAAGGCGUAGUCGAUGGGAAACGGGUUAAUAUUCCCGUACUUGGUGUUACUGCGAAGGGGGGACGGAGAAGGCUAUGUUGGCCGGGCGACGGUUGUCCCGGUUUAAGCGUGUAGGUGUGUGUUCCAGGUAAAUCCGGUUCACUUUAACACUGAGGCGUGAUGACGAGGCACUACGGUGCUGAAGCAACAAAUGCCCUGCUUCCAGGAAAAGCCUCUAAGCAUCAGGUAACAUCAAAUCGUACCCCAAACCGACACAGGUGGUCAGGUAGAGAAUACCAAGGCGCUUGAGAGAACUCGGGUGAAGGAACUAGGCAAAAUGGUGCCGUAACU
rnacentral:rRNA from 1 species